rnacentral:rRNA from 1 species
GAUGAACGCUAGCGGGAGGCCUAACACAUGCAAGCCGAGCAGUAGAGUCUCUUCGGAGACUUGAGAGCGGCGCACGGGUGCGGAACACGUGUGCAACCUGCCUUUAUCUGGGGGAUAGCCUUUCGAAGGGAAGAUUAAUACCCCAUAAUAUACUGGAUGGCAUCAUCUGGUAUUGAAAACUCCGGUGGAUAGAGAUGGGCACGCGCAAGAUUAGAUAGUUGGUGAGGUAACGGCUCACCAAGUCAGCGAUCUUUAGGGGGCCUGAGAGGGUGAUCCCCCACACUGGUACUGAGACACGGACCAGACUCCUACGGGAGGCAGCAGUGAGGAAGAUUGGACAAUGGGUGAGAGCCUGAUCCAGCCAUCCCGCGUGAAGGACGACGGCCCUAUGGGUUGUAAACUUCUUUUGUAUAGGGAUAAACCUAGAUACGUGUAUCUAGCUGAAGGUACUAUACGAUUAAGCACCGGCUAACUCCGUG